rnacentral:rRNA from 1 species
GAUGAAUGCUGGCGGCGUGCCUAAUACAUGCAAGUCGAGCGGUAAGGCCCUUCGGGUACACGAGCGGCGGACGGCUGAGUAACGCGUGGGAACAUGCCCCAAAGUGAGGGAUAACGCACCGAAAGGUGUGCUAAUACCGCAUAUGGUCUUCGGAUUAAAGGAUUUAUCCGCUUUGGGAGUGGCCCGCGUACGAUUAGAUUGUUGGUGAGGUAACGGCUCACCAAGUCGACGAUCGUUAACUGGUCUGAGAGGAUGAUCAGUCAGACUGGAACUGAGACACGGUCCAGACUCCUACGGGAGGCAGCAGUAAGGAAUCUUCCACAAUGGGCGAAAGCCUGAUGGAGCAAACGCCGCGUGCAGGAUGAAGGCCCUCGGGUCGUAAACUGCUUUAUGAGUGAAGAAUAUGACGGUAACUCAUGAAUAAGCACCGGCUAACUACGUGCCAGCAGCCGCGGU